rnacentral:tRNA from 1 species
GCCCUUCCCCCAAGAUAUCUCAGUUGGUAGAGCAUAAGACUCUUCAUCUCAGUGUCCUGAGUUCGAGCCCCACCUUAGGCA